rnacentral:rRNA from 1 species
UCGUAUCGUAUUGACUAACACAUCACUCGCAGCAGUAUCCAGUAGUUUGAAUUCUGCUCAGAUUGAACGCUGGCGGCAGGCUAACACAUGCAAGUCGAGCGGUAGCACAGAGAGCUUGCUCUCGGGUGACGAGCGGCGGACGGGUGAGUAAUGUCUGGGAAACUGCUGAUGGAGGGGGAUAACUACUGGAAACGGUAGCUAAUACCGCAUAACGUCGCAAGACCAAAGUGGGGGACCUUCGGGCCUCAUGCCAUCAGAUGUGCCCAGAUGGGAUUAGCUAGUAGGUGGGGUAACGGCUCACCUAGGCGACGAUCCCUAGCUGGUCUGAGAGGAUGACCAGCCACACUGGAACUGAGACACGGUCCAGACUCCUACGGGAGGCAGCAGUGGGGAAUAUUGCACAAUGGGCGCAAGCCUGAUGCAGCCAUGCCGCGUGUAUGAAGAAGGCCUUCGGGUUGUAAAGUACUUUCAGCGGGGAGGAAGGCGAUAAGGUUAAUAACCUUGUCGAUUGACGUUACCCGCAGAAGAAGCACCGGCUAACUCCGUGCCAGCAGCCGCGGUAAUACGGAGGGUGCAAGCGUUAAUCGGAAUUACUGGGCGUAAAGCGCACGCAGGCGGUCUGUCAAGUCGGAUGUGAAAUCCCCGGGCUCAACCUGGGAACUGCAUUCGAAACUGGCAGGCUAGAGUCUUGUAGAGGGGGGUAGAAUUCCAGGUGUAGCGGUGAAAUGCGUAGAGAUCUGGAGGAAUACCGGUGGCGAAGGCGGCCCCCUGGACAAAGACUGACGCUCAGGUGCGAAAGCGUGGGGAGCAAACAGGAUUAGAUACCCUGGUAGUCCACGCCGUAAACGAUGUCGAUUUGGAGGUUGUGCCCUUGAGGCGUGGCUUCCGGAGCUAACGCGUUAAAUCGACCGCCUGGGGAGUACGGCCGCAAGGUUAAAACUCAAAUGAAUUGACGGGGGCCCGCACAAGCGGUGGAGCAUGUGGUUUAAUUCGAUGCAACGCGAAGAACCUUACCUGGUCUUGACAUCCACAGAACUUGCCAGAGAUGGCUUGGUGCCUUCGGGAACUGUGAGACAGGUGCUGCAUGGCUGUCGUCAGCUCGUGUUGUGAAAUGUUGGGUUAAGUCCCGCAACGAGCGCAACCCUUAUCCUUUGUUGCCAGCGGUUCGGCCGGGAACUCAAAGGAGACUGCCAGUGAUAAACUGGAGGAAGGUGGGGAUGACGUCAAGUCAUCAUGGCCCUUACGACCAGGGCUACACACGUGCUACAAUGGCAUAUACAAAGAGAAGCGACCUCGCGAGAGCAAGCGGACCUCAUAAAGUAUGUCGUAGUCCGGAUUGGAGUCUGCAACUCGACUCCAUGAAGUCGGAAUCGCUAGUAAUCGUAGAUCAGAAUGCUACGGUGAAUACGUUCCCGGGCCUUGUACACACCGCCCGUCACACCAUGGGAGUGGGUUGCAAAAGAAGUAGGUAGCUUAACCUUCGGGAGGGCGCUUACCACUUUGUGAUUCAUGACUGGGGUGAAGUCGUAACAAGUUAACCCGUAAAUUCUAGUGUUGAGGCGACUCUGAUAUAUU